UGCCCGGUCGUUCAAUGGCAGGACGCCACCCUUUGGAGGUGGUCAUCAUGGUUCGAAUCCAUGCCGGGCAA
rnacentral:tRNA from 1 species